ACGUUAUUUGGCUUUUAACAUUGUCAGUCUCCAAAGUUAUUAAUUCACUUGUCUCUUUCUGACAAAUGAGUUUUAUGGGACGACAAUAGCGGGUUGAUGAAGGUCUCGUGUUCUUCCACAAUAUUGUCGAACCAAGCUGAACUUGUAAUGGUACAAGGCAAACAGUAAAUAAAUGCUCAUCGACCAUACUUGUUUCACCAUCUUGAAACUUUUGGCGAUAGGUCGCGUGGCCACUGCUUCCAUCGCAGCCCCAUUUGUAAAUUGCAGUCAAACUUCUGAUAUUAUUUUCCCCUGCAACAUGAUUUUCAACAACCCGCGAGUGCGCAUUUAUGAUACGGUUUACCGUAUGGUCUACUAAAUUCUGUAGAGUUAUUUCAGCGGAAUAAUCGGUUACUUUUAGUACGUCUGGUUAACACAUAAUCUUUGCUUUUUGCAGCCUUUGGUAGUUGGGGUAUAUAUCUCCAUUCCUCUCUUUGGCACUUAUUCGCGUAAGCUGGUAUGUAUGUUUUGUGUGGUCCCAAAAUCUACAUACAGUGCAAGCGCUUCAUCAGAAGUAAAAAAUCGACUUUUAUUCCGCUUGAUAUCUCAUUGGAUCCACUGUGCGUCAGUUCGUCGACCACAAAAAACUGCUCUUUCAGGAUCCUGGCAGCGGAAGGAAACACGUGUUUAUGGUCGGGGGCUAACUGAUCCAGGACCCUUACUGCCCGAAAUGGUGCGCAGGAUGUGCCGUAUGUAGCGGCUUGCGAACCAAUAACCUCUGCGUGAAGCAGAGAGUGGUGCCGAUUGUGGCAAAACUUACAUGUGAAUUUGCCAUUACAGGGAUUUUUUCUUAAAAUAAGAUAAAAUCCAGCAAUCCCUUUUAGUUUGUACAAUUUCAGUGGCUUUGUUCGUCAUCUUGCGCAGAACUAUUACAUCUGCGACGCUGUUAGCAAACACGUAAUGCUUGCCCUCGCAAGACUUCUUGCUGCCUUCAACAGUUUCAGCUGAUCCAUGUUAAUUAGGAACUAAAUCUGGCGAAAAUGACCACAGAUAUGGUGUUGAAUAAAAAAUUGUACUUAUUAAUUUUUA